rnacentral:rRNA from 1 species
CCUACGGGAGGCAGCAGUGGGGAAUUUUGGACAAUGGGCGAAAGCCUGAUCCAGCCAUUCCGCGUGCAGGAUGAAGGCCCUCGGGUUGUAAACUGCUUUUGUACAGAACGAAAAGGUUUCUAUUAAUACUAGGAGCUCAUGACGGUACUGUAAGAAUAAGCACCGGCUAACUACGUGCCAGCAGCCGCGGUAAUACGUAGGGUGCAAGCGUUAAUCGGAAUUACUGGGCGUAAAGCGUGCGCAGGCGGUUAUAUAAGGUCAGAUGUGAAAUCCCCAGGCUCAACCUGGGAACUGCAUUUGAGACUGUAUAGCUAGAGUACGGUAGAGGGGGAUGGAAUUCCGCGUGUAGCAGUGAAAUGCGUAGAUAUGCGGAGGAACACCGAUGGCGAAGGCAAUCCCCUGGACCUGUACUGACGCUCAUGCACGAAAGCGUGGGGAGCAAACAGGAUUAGAUACCCUGGUAGUCCAGCCCUAAACGAUGUCAACUGUUGUUGGUCUUACUGACUCAGUAACGAGCUAACGCGUAGAAGUUGACCGCGCGGAGGUACGGCCGCGAGUAGUAAACGUAAAGUAAGUAGUAGACGUGAGAGAGACGACGACGACGACGACGGAGGGAGGAG